rnacentral:tRNA from 1 species
GCCUGGGUGGCUCAGUCGGUUAAGCACCCGACUCUUGAUCUCAGCUCAGGUCGUGAUCUCGGGGUCAUGGUCUCAGGAUCGUGAGUUCAAGCCCCACCUUGGGCU